UCUUUCCUUCUCUCCUCAUCCCCCCUCCCCCUCUCCCUCCCUUUCCUUCUCUUCCCUUAAAACCCUUCACACUGGAACCUCGGUGCUGAAGCCAACGCCUCUACUGAACAACCCUUUAACAAAGACCGUCAUACUAUACUCCAGAGAAAUAAAACUGGAGAGGCAACCUGGCAACUCAGAAAGAAAUCAUAAACAUCUGAAGAUUCAGCUACGUGCUCUAGAAAUCACAGUUCACCAGACAGAGGUGCUGAAGAGCAGCAAAACAGCCAACCGGCGCCCACGGCGGGGUGGGGGGGGGGUGGGAGGGCAGAGGGGGGUCAGAUUUGCUAACCCCAAAUCUGACAACGAGGCCCUAACGCUUGGACACUCAUUGCUACCGCACGAUGAAGGUUUUAGCUCUGGAUGUCUCCCGGAAAGCCAAGAAAGAGUCAUAUAGAAGGAGCGUUCUAACACAAACAAUGUGUUAGGAGAAUAUAUUUUAAACAGCCUUAAAAUGGGAUAAACAGGGCGCAAAGGCUUUAGCACAAGUAAUUGAGAAGAGACCACCAUCUGUCUCGGUUAAAUUAUCCUCCUACUCCCCAGUUUUCUUUUUUCUUUUCCACAGCUCUUUAAAACAAAGUGGAGGAGAAAAGGUAUUAUCUACAUAUUAUCCAAUAUGUGAGCUAACUAAGCGUCGAUGAAUUCCAUCUGAAGACGAGUACCAAUAAUCAAAUGUGCAGAGUGAGGCAGGAGGAUUCCGCUCUCAAGGUCUGCCCCAGAAAUCCCUGCAGGCUCACUUUCAUUCUCAUUAGUCUUUGGGCUCUGCUGAGAGACUCUUUUCUUUCCUUCUUGACCAGAGGGCCUAUGAACGUACAUCUGGCUACUUGUACGUGGACCACAGGAGGCCUCCAGAAAGGCUCUCUCCAUGAACACCCAGGAAGGCUCUCUCCAUGAACGCCCCCACCCCCAAACCCUAGGAAGAAUCUCUGGUAGCAACAGGAGGGAACUGUGUGUCUAUGUUUAGGUAGGUUUAUGGGGAUAAGGACGGUAGGAGCAGGAAGUAAGGAAAUGAGUUCAUAAUUCAUUCUUUAAACAAUGACCCUCACAACCUGAUUUUGGCCCCAAGAUGAAAUGUGGUGGGUCACAACAAUAUUCUGUCACUUCCCCCCAUCUCUCCAGCUGGGGAGAGAAGUGAUCCAAGAAUAUGGCAAGUCCCAGGGAAACCAGGAAAUGUGCUGGAAUCCUGCUGCUGUCCCAAAUUUAGAAAAUAGGAAGUAAAUCACCUCACAGCACAAACUCAGGAUGGUCCAGACUUGGGAAAAGGAGAGACAGGGGUGGUGGAAAUAGAAUUAUGAGGAAGGGAAGAACAAGACCCCUUCAGAAAGAAUGUCGUUGGUUCUCGCAUUCAGA